GCUCUUGAGUUACACGAGGGAGAGGGUGGGGUGGACAUGGGUGGGGAUUGGACUCUGAUCGUUUCUCUUCAUUGUCUCCAGUGCCCGCCAGGAUCCCUCAUCCUCGCUGCGUGCGACAUCCAGGCGGUGGUAACGGAGACACUGAGCCAUCACUGCCAGAUUCCCAGGCCGUGGGCUCUGGAUCACGCUGGAAAGGUCAUGUUUCCUAGACCUUUCAUCAUUGUGUCGACUUUCUCCAAUUUCGCCACGUCUUUCCUGAAAUGUGACUCCCAGAACUGGACACAAUUCUCCAACUGAGGCCUAAUCAGCGCGGAGCAGAGCGGAAGAAUUACUACUCGUGUCUUGCUUACAACACUCCUGCUAAUACAGCCCAGAAGGAUGUCUGCUUUUUUGCAACAGCGUUACACUGUUGACUCAUAUUUAGCUUGUGACCCACUCUGACCCCCAGAUCCCUUUCCACACUACUGCUUCCUGGGCAAUCAUUUCCCAGUCUGGAUGUGCAUAAUACAAUAUGUUUUUUUCAUGCC